AACGGGUUGAGUAACACGUGAGAAACCUGCCCCGAAGACCGGAAUAACAACCGGGAAACCGGUGCUAAUACCGGAUGUCCUCCUCGGACCGCAUGGUCCGACGAGGAAAUGGAUUCCGCUUCGGGAUGGUCUCGCGGCUAUCAGCUAGUUGGUGGGGUAACGGCCCACCAAGGCUUCGACGGGUAGCUGGUCUGAGAGGAUGUCCAGCCACACUGGGACUGAGACACGGCCCAGACUCCUACGGGAGGCAGCAGUAGGGAAUCUUGCACAAUGGGGGCAACCCUGAUGCAGCGACGCCGCGUGAGCGAUGAAGCCCUUCGGGGUGUAAAGCUCUUUCGUCAGGGAAGAUGAUGACGGUCCCUGGAGAAGCAGUUGGGUAACUACGUGCCAGCAGCCGCGGUAAUACGUAGGCAGCGAGCGUUGUUCGGAAGUUACUGGGGCGUAAGGGUGUGUAGGCGGUUCUUUAAGUUUGGUGUGAAAUCUCCCGGCUCAACCGGGAGGGUGCGCCGAAUACUGAGGGACUAGAGUACGGGAGAGGAAAGUGGAAUUCCUGGUGUAGCGGUGAAAUGCGUAGAUAUCAGGAGGAACACCGGUGGUGUAGACGGCUUUCUGGACCGUAACUGACGGCUGAGGAACACGAAAGCGUGGGGUUAGCAAACAGGGAUUAGAUACCCCUGGGUAGUCCACGCCCUAAACGAUGCAUAUUUGGUGUGGGCAGGUCAUUCUGUCCGGUGCCGGAGGCUUACG
rnacentral:rRNA from 1 species